CAUGCAAGUCGAACGGACCUUUCGGGGUUAGUGGCGGACGGGUGAGUAACGCGUGAGAAUCUACCUUCAGGAUGGGGACAACAGCGGGAAACUGCUGCUAAUCCCCAAUAAGCCGCAAGGUGAAAGAUUUAUCGUCUGAAGAGGAGCUCGCGUCUGAUUAGCUAGUUGGUGGGGUAAAAGCCUACCAAGGCGACGAUCAGUAGCUGGUCUGAGAGGAUGAGCAGCCACACUGGGACUGAGACACGGCCCAGACUCCUACGGGAGGCAGCAGUGGGGAAUUUUCCGCAAUGGGCGCAAGCCUGACGGAGCAAUGCCGCGUGAGGGAGGAAGGCCUUUGGGUUGUAAACCUCUUUUCUCAGGGAAGAAGACAGGACGG
rnacentral:rRNA from 1 species